rnacentral:rRNA from 1 species
CGGUAAUUCCAGCUCCAAUAGCGUAUAUUAAAGUUGCUGCAGUUAAAACGCUCGUAGUUGUUUUCCAACUAUACGCUUCAUUGCAUUUUGCUAUUGAAGUAAUUAGUUUAGCUGAAACUCUGUUUCGGCCAAAACCUUGAGGAGAGAUUAGUGUUCCAAGCAGUUAAUUUUGUCCUCCCCAGCAUGGUAUUCAACUCAAUUGAGAAGGGUUGUCGAGCCCUUAUCAAACUAAAUAGAAAUUCAGGGAGGUAUACGUACUUUAAUGUCAGAGGUGAAAUUCCUAGAUUUUUAAAAGACGGUCAGUUGCGAAAGCGUUCACCAAGCGACUUUUCAUUGAUCAAGAACGAAAGUUGGGGGAUUGAAGACGAUCAGAUACCGUCGUAAUCUCAACCGUAAACUAUGCCGACUUGUCGCAGGCAGGUAUUUCCUUCUAAUCUGUCGUCGACUUUUGAGAAAUCAAAGUUUUUGGGCUCUGGGGGGAGUAUGAUUGCAAGAUUGAAACUUAAAGGAAUUGACGGAAGGGCACCACCAGGAGUGGAGCUUGCGGCUUAAUUUGACUCAACACGGGAAAUCUCACCAGCCCCACACAUAAAGAGGAUUGACAGUUUGAUAGUUCUUUCUUGAUUCUAUGGUUGGUGGUGCAUGGCCGUUCUUAGUUGGUGGAGUGAUCUGUCUGGUUAAUUCCGAUAACGAACGAGAUCUUAACCUACUAAAUAGGUGCCUUUGGGUUAUCUUCUUAGAGGGACACUUGAUCGUAUAGAUCAAGGAAGUUUGAGGUAAUAACAGGUCUGUGAUGCCCCUAGACGUUCUGGGCUGCACGCGCGCUACAAUAAUACGUACAACAAGUAUUCCAAGCUCGAAAGGGCGAGGUAAUCACUAAAAGGUACUGUAAUGGUUAUAGACCCUUGUAAUUAUUGGUCUUCAACGAGGAAUUCCUAGUAAGUAUGUGUCAUCAUCACGCACUGAUUACGUCCCUGCCCUUUGUACACACCGCCCGUCGCUCCUACCGAUUGGGUGUUCCGAUGAAACUCUCGGACGCAAUGUAGUUCCUAUGUUGGAAAAGAGAUUUGAAUCGUAUCACUUAGAGGAAGGAGAAGUCGUAACAAGG